GUUUUCACCCAUACGUAAAUAAUAAUAGAAUAUUAAAUACUAAUAUUAACAUAAAUAAUAAAAUGCUGCAGGGAAAGAACAAGUCUACAUAAGAGCCAUUUGAAAAACUACUGCAUAAACAUGGCUGUCAACUAUCAUAUGUGGCACCUGGGGUUGCCAAUCAGUGUUGCCAAUGUUGAUGUGUGUAAUAAUAAAAACUGCAUUACACUAAAACCCACAUUGUUCAUAACUGUGCUGUACAAGGUAUACCUGUAUUAUAUUAAAAGUUUAUAUGUAGAUCUACAUUUAAUUUUGAUAAUUUUUCAAAAAUGCUCUAAAUUGAUAAUUUCUGUUCAUUUGAAUUGGAACUUAAUAAAAAGUUCUAUAAGACUGCUUACUAAGAGUUCAAAAGACAAAUAAGCAUGUUGAAUAGGCACGG
rnacentral:lncRNA from 1 species